GGGCAAAUAGCGUAGGGGUUAUCGCGUUCGCUUUGCAUCACGAAUUUCCGGAGCCUGCUGCUGCGAAAGGUCUCCGGUUCAAUUCCGGAUUUGUCCA